rnacentral:rRNA from 1 species
GACGAACGCUGGCGGCGUGCCUAAUACAUGCAAGUCGAACGCAGUGGGGACGGGUGCGUAACACGUGGGUAACCUCCCAUCAAAAGGGAUAACACUUGGCAACAGGUGCUAAACCGCUACUGAUGGAGGGACCCGGGGUGCAUUCGCUGGUUGGUGAGGUAACGGCUCACCAAGGCCACGAUGCAUAGCAGACCUGAGAGGAUGACCGGCAACACUGGGACUGAGACACGGCCCAGACUCCUACGGGAGGCAGCAGUAGGGAAUCUUGCGCAAUGGGCGAAAGUCUGACCGAGCAACGCCGCGUGAGUGAAGAAGGUUUUCGGAUAGUAAAGCACUGUUGUUAGAGAAGCGGUAUCUACACAAAAAGCCACGGCUAACUACGUGCCAGCAGCCGCGGUAAUAC